rnacentral:rRNA from 1 species
GGCCAUACCGUACUGAAUAUACCGGUUCUCGUUCGAUCACCGAAGUCAAGCAUCAUUGGGCGCGGUCAGUACAUGGGAGGGUGAACACCUGGGAACACCGCGUGCAGU